rnacentral:rRNA from 1 species
GACGAACGCUGGCGGCGUGCUUAACACAUGCAAGUCGAACGAGACGAUUGAAAGCUUGCUUUUGAAAGUCGAGUGGCAAACGGGUGAGUAACGCGUAGACAACCUGCCUUUGAGAUGGGGAUAACAGUUCGAAAGGACUGCUAAUACCGAAUGUUGUAUAUUUUCCACAUGGAAGAUAUAUUAAAGGUGGCCUCUAUUUAUAAGCUAUCGCUCAAAGAUGGGUCUGCGUCUGAUUAGCUGGUUGGUGGGGUAACGGCCUACCAAGGCGACGAUCAGUAGCCGGUCUGAGAGGAUGAACGGCCACAUUGGGACUGAGACACGGCCCAGACUCCUACGGGAGGCAGCAGUGGGGAAUCUUCCACAAUGGACGAAAGUCUGAUGGAGCAACGCCGCGUGAGUGAAGAAGGGUUUCGGCUCGUAAAGCUCUGUUGUCGGGGACGAAUGUGCAGUAUUUGAAUAAAGUACUGCAAUGACGGUACCUGACGAGGAAGCCACGGCUAACUACGUGCCAGCCGCCGCAGUAA